AGGAUGGAGUAACUUCUCUGGGAGUCCUUUUGAGGAUGUGUGUUCCGCAAAUAUACAGAGGUUCAGAUCUAGCAGAAUCAUAAACCAAAGCUCUCUUGCUCAACUUUUGCUGUCCUUUUUCGACAAGUUUUCAGAUAUUAGAACUUCUGGUUCAGAUUAUAGCAUCUCGACAUAUGAAGGA